UGACAGAAAUACUAAAGCUGCACGUCAAUCAAUGACUGGGGUACUGGUCCCACUGUCAAGCAAUAAGCCAUCAGCUAUUUUUCAUCAUUUUAUAUAUAUAUAUAUAACUAUGGCCAUCAAGGCGUAGUAUCUGCACAGACUUUAGCGCUCAGCUCAUAUUGGUAUUUAAUAGGCAUCCUCCGAUGAACAAGUCACUGAAAUGCAAGAAUACAUCUUAGAUGAAGAGGACGGAGGUGCACCACUGAUCUCACAACAGGAAGUCAGCUCGACAAAACCGCACGCGGCAUCUCAAGGCUUCCUCUUCCGCAUCACUGAGCCAGAUAAAAACACUGAAUUCAGGCACCGCCGACGCUGCCGUUUGCCCUCGCAACACACACACAC